rnacentral:lncRNA from 1 species
UUUUUUUUUUUUUUUUUUUUUUGUCUUGUUAGGGCUGCAGCAGAUGGAGGGUUCUAGAUCCUGGGUCGAAUCAGAGCUGCAGCUGCCGGUCUACACCACAGCCACAGUCACACGGGAUCCAGCCACAUCUGCGACCUACACCACCACUCACAGCAACGCUGGAUCCUUCACCUGAGGAGCGAGACCAAGGAUCGAACCCAUGUCCUCAUGGAUCCUAUUUGGAUUCAUUUCCCGCUGAGCCAUGAUGGGAAUUCCCACAUUCCCUUUUAGGAACUGCAUUUUCACUUUGUCAAUGUGUAUACAUGCAUAACGUCCUGCCCUAAACGUGGAGGUAAUUACAUGAACAGUUAUGACAUGAAAGUCUUGCUUCUUUGCCAAGACCUAUUUUUUUUUAAUCUUUGGGAUUGCAGAAAUAUCAAAUAAGAUAUGCAAUAUCCCUUUAUCCCUCGCUAUUUUAGGGCCGCACCCUCGGCAUAUGGAGGUUCCCAGGCUAGGGGUCAAAUCGGAGCUGCAGCUGCCGGUCUACCCCACAGCCACAGCAACACGGGAUCUGAGCCGCAUCUGCGACCUACACCACAGUUCACGGCAACACCAGAUCCUUCACCCACGGAGCGAGACCAAGGAUCAAACCCAUAUCCUCAUGGAUCCUAGUCAGCUUCAUUAACCACUGAGCCACAAAGGAACUCCUAUCCCCUUAUCUUUUCCUAGAUACCCCAACACUGGGGACUUCUCAGAAACACUGCACUUUCACUGCUUUAUAAGGCCGAGACCGUCAAGUAACAGUGUCUGACACACUUUCUUCUUGGGUUCGAAGGGAAAAGGCCCCGUAACAAAGCACGUAUCCACGCUGUGAGGAUGAAAGGGGUAGAAACACACCAUUUGAGGGCAUGUUUAAGAUCCAUGACUUUCCCAACCACGGACGGGGCAACCUGAAAUACCACCACCCCGGCACGACGUGUGGAUCAGCAUUCAGAGAGGCGUUCCCGUGUUCCUCCAGGGGUUAAGAAUCCGACGACAACAGCUCGGGUCCCAGCCCUGCACACGGGGUUCAAGAAUCUGGUGUUGCCACACCGGUGGCACAGGUUGCAGCCGCAACUGGAUGCAAUCUCUGGCCCCAGCGGGGGAGGGGAGGAAAAAAAAAAAACUAUUUCCCGUAUGCGCCUAAAUAUUAAGGAAUUGAACCGCUCAUUGCACCUAACAAGAAAUCACCUGAUAUGUUCUUCCCGUUUCAGAGAUUCAGAAAUAAGUCAUGGUUCCCUAAAAAGACCUGAGCUCCCACUGUGAAGGGUUUGCUCUACCUCGGAUGAGAUCUCGUGCUCACGGUGAGGGGCUGGUAGGAGCUUAUAAAAGUAAUUUUUUUUUUUUUUUUAAAGACUGCACCUGCGGCAUAUGGAAGUUCCCAGGCUAGGGGUCCAACUGGAGCUGCAGCUAGCUGCAGGUCUACACCACAGCCACAGCAACGCCGGAUCUGAGAUGCAUCUGCAACCUACACCAGAGCUCACAGCAACGUCGGAUCCUUAACCCACUGAGCAAGGCCAGGGAUCGAGCCCGUGUCCUCAUGGAUCCUAGCAGAGUUCUUAACCCACUGAGCCACCAUAGGAAUGCCUAUGGUGCCUAUGCCUUCUGGAGCUCCCACUGUGGAGCAAUGGGUCUUGGGAAGUGCUGGGAUGUGGGUUCGACCCCUGGCCUGGGACAGUGGGUUAAAGAUCCAGCGUUGCUGCAGCUGCAGCUUGGAUCUGAUCCCAGGCCUGUGGGCUCCAUAUGGAGCCAAAAAAAAAAAAAAAAAUCAAAUCAACUCUAUCUGGUACCCUGACGAGUACUACGAACCUCAGGAUAAUCUUUGAGGACGCCCCGUCUCUUACAUCCACAGAGUCCCCAUUUUUUUUAAAAAACUGGCUGCACCCAUGGCAUGUGUAAGUUCUGGGGCCAGGAAUCGAACCCAACCCACGCUGCCACUGCAACCUGCGGAAACCAGGGAUCCUUAAGCUGCUGUGCCACGUGGACACCACCCAGAUUCCAGACUGGACUGGAGACAUUUGCUAAGGGCAUCCAUAAAGAAGGUCCCCUCCUGCUCACCCACCUCUCCCGUCUGUUUACCUGGCAGUCCAGUGGCAGGAAACACCCCCCUUCCACCUGUCUUCUCUUACUUGUAUCCCCGCCCCCAUACAUAAGGAGGAAGGGAAGGAUGGACAGAUACACAGACAGACAGAAGCAGGGCUGGAUGGAGAGACACAAUCAGCACAGACGGCUCCGUCAGCCUAUUUCCCAAAGAGGAGCUAAAACCACAUCACGACCCACCUGACAACAACCCAGAAUCCCUGCCUGGACUUAAUCACAGCCCACACAUCGUCAGGACGGCCCCAACUCCUCCUUAAGACCUGUCAAGCUUCCUGCUGUGCUCUAUCUAGUCAUGCACGAUGGAGGAUAAUGUGAGAAAAAAGAGCGUGUGUAUAUAUAUAUAUAUGCAUGUGUGACUGGGUCACCUUGCUGUACAGGAGAAAAUUGACAGAACACUGUAAACCAGCUAUGAUGGAAAAAAAUAAAAAUCAUUAAAAAAAAUAAAUUGAAUCUCUAUAGGCAAUCCUCCCUCCCUAAAAAAAGAGAUUAAACACAGCCAUCACCUGGCUUCUGGCAUCCGCACCCUCACAGGUGAAGAUGCCCAGGAUCUGGACGCUACUAAACUCACCUCGCCUCUCAUCCCUGUCCCGCAAGUAACACUUUUCUUGAUACUUUUUGAAAUGAAUGUACAGUUGAUUUGCAAUGUUGUGUCCAUUUCUGCCCCACAGCACAGGGAGCCAGGCAUUUGCAGACACACAUGCCCUUUCUCACGCGAUCUUCCAUCUAUCCCAGGACACUGCACAGAGUUCCCUGCGCUGCACAGCAGGACCUCAUGGCUUCUCCGUUCUCAGGGUCCGGAUUUGCACCUACGGACCCCAAACUCCCCGUCCCCCCCUGGCAACCCCACGUCUGAUCUCUGUGGCUGGGGGUCUGUUUCUGUUCGGCAGACAGGUUCAUUGGUGCCCUAUUUUAGAUGCCACAUGGAAGUGAUAUCUUACGGUAUCUGUCUGACUGACGUCACUCAGUAUGAGAGGCUAAGUGCGUGUGUCCUUUUGCAUUAGAAAAUACUCUCCCCAAAUGACACGCGGCCACACCCACACAUGUGCACAAAGUACGAUGUAUGGUUUUGCUCUGAUGUAUGGUUUUGCUCUUCCUCGUCUCAACUAUGGAAAUUCGAAACUCCAUGGGGGGGCGAAGACGGGCUUUGAAAAGCAGCUGCCCUAAGUUAAAGAUUUGGCGGAGGAGUUCCCAUUGUGGCUCAGCAGGUUAAGGCCCUGACACCGUAUCCACCGGGCGAUGAGGGUUUGAUGCCUGGCCUCACUCCGUGGGUUAAGGAUCCAGCGUUGCCGUGAGCUGUGGUGUAGGUCUCGGAUGCAGCUCGGAUCUGGUCGCCGUGGCUGUGGUGUAGGCUGGCAGCGGCCGCUCCAAUUUGACCCCUCGCCUGGGAAUUUCCAUAUGCUGCAGGUGCAGCUAUAAACAGAAGGGGAAAAAAAUAUAUUUUUGGACCUUUAUAUGGAAGGAUAGUUGAAUUACACGUUGCCCUUGUUUCAGGCGUGCAACAAAGCGACUCUGUUAUACACACACAUAUCGAUUCCUCUGCAGAUUCUCUUCCCUCCUAGGUGAUGACGAUACAUUGAGUAUAGUUCCCUGCGCUGCCCGGUAGGUCCUUGUUCUCUGUCUGUUUUACAUACGAGACUGGGUAUCUGUUAAACGCAACCCCCUAACUUGUCUCCCAGCCACCCCAUCCUUCCUCCACUGUCUUCCGUCUUCCGUCAUUCUCACUUGAAGCGUCAAGGCCCCCUGUGCCUUGCCCACGAGCAUCCCGGAUGCUACCAAAGCAGAGCCAGGCACAGUCAAGGGCUCAGUGUGGGGAUGGAGAAGCCCAACCUUGCCCGAAAGGCAGGCGGAAGUUCAGGCAACAGGCCAGCCAGGGCGGAACACCGCCACAGGCGCAGAGAGUCCAGCAGGGACAGCGGCUCCUGUCCACGGGUCUCUGAGAGCCUGGGAGCAUUUCAACACAGGUUCCACCCCCUCACCCCCAGGGAGCAGGGCUCCCCUCCCCCACUCUACAACCCGGCCAGCCCCUGGGUUUCCAGGGAACACUCUUUGUCCUCACCCUUCCUCCUGCGCGGGAGGGAUGAAGAUACCAAGGUCACCCCAGGACGUUUGUGCUGAGAUCACCACUGGGACACGUCUGACAGAUCCAGACCGCGCUUUAACCCCAAGAGUGCCUGAGGAUCUGAGCCCCCCCACCUCCGCCGCCACCCCCCGAUGCAGCGAUUCUGCAAGAUGGGGACUCCAGGGCAGGUCUCAUUCACCCCUAACUCGCCAGGUGCUCCUGGAGCUAGGAAGAAAUUCCCAGACACCUCAGGGGAGGCUGGUCCCUGGUGGGUGGGCUCUGAGGGUCCCUUCCAAAGCCCUCCCAUCAUCAGUGGAACCCACACGGCCCAGUGUCGGCCGUCACCUCCCUGUACCUGCAACACUGGCUGCAAGCUCCCCUCCAUUCAAGGGACGCUAAGGUUUUUGUUUGUUUGUUUGUUUGGUCUUUUUUUUUUUGCCAUUUCUUGGGCCGCUUCCGCGGCAUAUGGAGGUUCCCAGGCUAGGGGUCCAACUGGAGCUGCAGCUGCCAGUCUACACCACAGCCACAGCAAUGCAGGAUCCGAGCCUCGUCUGCCAGCUACAUCACAGCUCACGGCAACGUCAGAUCCUUCACCCACUGAACGAGGCCAGGGAUCGAACCUGCAUCCUCAUGGGUACUAGUUGGAUUCGUUUCUGCUGAGCCACAGCAAGCACUCCUGCCUUGCAUUUCUGGACAGAGAAAACUUCCAACGGUGCGGAUGGUUCCCUGGGCACUGUGUUCACAACAGGGGGACGUGGUAGUCGCCAGAGAAGUUCCCUUUGAGCCUCAACCCGUGCAGUUCCUUCUUGCUGGGUGUCUACACCUACGUUAUUCCUGUGUCCCUGGAAAUGCACUGUGGUAUCAGUUUAACGCAACCUUGGAAAAGGUAGACUGUGAGCGUGUGUGUGCGUGUGUGUGUGUGUGUUUAUACUUUUCUGUUUCUGUGUGUGUUUCUGUGUUUGUGUGUAUUUCUCUGUGUGUAUGUUUGUGUGUGUGUGUGUAUUUCUGUGUGAGUUUCUGUGUUUGUGUGUCUGUGUUUCUGUGUGUGUUUUUGUGUGUAUUUCUAUUUCUGCCUUUGUGUAGGUAUAUUUCUGUGUGUAUGUGUAUUUCUCUAUGUGAGUUUCUGUGUGUGCAAGUGUAUUUCUGUGUGCUUGUGUACUUCUGUGUUUGUGCAGUGUAUAUUUCUCUGUGUGUGUUUCUGUGUUUGUGGGUGUGUGUAAUUCUGUGUGUUCCCGUGUGCAGGGUGUGCAGGUAGACAACUGUGUGCAGGCAGACUGACACAUGAAAGUCUCCGACCGUAUUCACGAUGGUGAGAGACUAGGAAUAAUACACACACACACACACACACACACACACAGUGACAGAUCUCGGAGAUAUUUCAGGUUCAGUUCCAGACCACUGCAAUAAGUCAACCGUCACAAUAAAACGCGCCAGAGAGAUUUUUUUGAUUUCCCAGUGCCUGUGAAAGUGAUGCUGAGGGAGUCCCUGUUGGCUCAGGGGGUUAAGGACCCAGCAUUGUCACUGCUGUGGCUCAGGUUUGAUCUCUGGCUAGGAGCUUCUGCAUACUCCAAGUGUGGCCAAAAAAAAAAAAAAAAACUGAUGUCCACUCUCCCCUGUAGUCUACUAAGUGUACAACACUUUAUGUCUAAAAGACAAGGCAGAGACCUUCAUUUUAAAAGGCUGUCUUGCUAAAAUAUGUGAACUGGAACUCCCGCUGCGGCUCAGUGGGUUAAGAAUCCGACAUACUGUCUGUGAGGAUGCAGGUUCAAUCCCUGGCCUUGUUCCAUGGGUUAAGCACCCAACAUUGCUGCGAGCUAUGCUGUUGAGGUUGCAGAUGCAUCUCAGAUCCGCUGUGGCUGUGGCUGUGGUAUAGACUUGCAGCGGCUGCUCUGCUGGGACUCCAUCUGGGAACUUCCAGAUGUCACAGGGGCGUCCGUAAAAAGAAAAACAAAUGAAUCAAUAAAUAACACAUGCUACCCAUCCUGAGCCUUCAGUGUGUUGUUGUCAUAGUUACGUGAAAGCUCCCGGAUCACAAAUACAGACACAUUUGAAAUACGGCGAGAAUUACAGGAAUGGGACCCAGAGCCACGCAGCGGACAGACGCUGUUGGAAAAACGGCCCCGACAGGCUUGCUCACGGAGGGUUACCACAAACCCUCCAUCACGGAAAAAUGCAAUUAGCAGCAAAGCGCAGGCAGGCAUGCUCCACCUGCAUACCUGUUCUCUAGGGAGUAAACCAUGAGUCUCCCGACAAGUUCUCAAGAAAGCCCGCUGGUCCCUUGACGAACUCAAUCGACCCCUCGGUGAGGAAGAUGUUUUGCUUUGAAAUCCUCACGUCACCUUUCCUUCGGACCGUACAGAAACAGCAGAGACACUAAGAGGGCUCCGUGCAGGAUCAGGCACCAGCGAUGCUUAGAAAAUAGGAGCUGGUUUUAAUGGCUUUCAGAAAACACCCGUUAUAUCUCUGGACUUUCAGUGCGAUUAGGGAAAGGUCUUUUGGGUGUGUCGUGUAUCUCAGGUGUCAAAUGAAUUGGGGGAGAGCCAAGAAUAUUAUUCAAAAGCUGUUUCGGGAGUUCCCCGUGUGGCUCAGUGGGUUAAGAACCCAACACUGUCUCCAUGAGAAUGCGGGUUCCAUCCCUGGUCUCACGGAGUGGGUGAAUGAUCCGGCGUUGCCGUGAGCUAUGGUGUGGGUCGCAGACAAGGCUUGGACCCCACGUCGCUGUGUCUGUGCCGUAGAUCGGCAGCUGCAGCUCCGAUUCCACCCCUGGUCUGGGAACGUCCAUAUGGCAUGCGUGUGGCCCUAAAAAAAAAAUUAAAAAGAUCCUGAGGUGCAGGCCCCCCCAGGAGGAUAGAAUUCUGAUGUCUGAUUUUGUUUACGUAUGUGAUUGUCAAGGUUCUGAAAGGUGGAAGCCAAACCCCUAGGGCUAUUUAAAGUCAAAAGACGUGAGCUUGAAUCAAAGAAAGAAGACGGGGAUGAUCCCGCAAUCUCACUCCUGGGCAUCUAUCUUUCCAAAGAUAACCUAAUUAGAAAAGAUCCACGCACCCCUAUGUUCACUGAAGCACUCUUCACCACAGCCAAGACACGGAAGCAACUUAAACAUCCACAGACAGAGGAACGGAUAAAGAAGAUGUGGUGCAUGUACACCAUGGAAUAUUACUCAGCCAUAAAAAAGGAAUGGAAUCAUGCCACGUGCAGCCACACGGGUGCAACUAGAGAUUCUUAUACAACAUGAAGUCCGUCAGAUAGCAAAAGACAAAAAGCGUAUGAUCUCACUUACACAUGGCAUCGAAACCACGGCACGGAGGAGCCUAACUAUAGAACGGAAACAGACUCAGACCAGGAGAACAGAGUGUGGUUGUCAAGGGCAGGGGGGCGGGGAGCGGGAUGGAGGGGGAGUUUGGGGUUCGUAGAUGCACCCGAGGACACAGAGGACAGCAACCAAGUCCUAGUGCACAGCACAGGGCAGCCUAUUCACCUGUGAUCAAGCAUUACGGAAAAGAAUACGAAAAAGAAUACCUAUGUAUAAAUGAGUCCCUUUGCUGUAUGCCUGAAACCAACUCAACACUGUAUGUCAACUCUACUUCAAUAAAAUAAAUUAAAAAAAAAAGAAGGUGGGGGUAUCUGGGGGUUGCCAUAGCAACACUGACUCCGCACACACCAUCUUCAGGGCACCAAGGCGUGUCGGACGCGCUGCUAGAAGGAAACCAAGAAGUCUGCUACCCUACCAUCUAGGAGAGACGGGUGAGUCUGGAACUAGUCAUACCAACCUGGUGAACCGGUCAGGCUCAACUAGUCCUGCUGAGUCUACUCAGGAGCCUGUCUUGUCUGCAUAACAGUCAGGGCUGAGGCCACCAGAUGGCUCCAGAGCUACAAUGAUGCUUAUAAUUCAUGAUAGGGGAAGGCCAGGAUUCAGCUCAAAACUCAUUCUUGGUCACAGACAGUAGUACUAAAACUGUGUAAGGUCCGAGUUCCCGUGGUGGCUCGGCAGAUUAGGAACCCAACAUGCCUCUGUGAGGAUGCAGGUUCAAUCCCUGGCCUCGCUCCGUGGGUGAAGGACCCAGCGUUGCCGUGAGCUGCGGUGUAGGUCGCAGAUGCAGCUUAGAUCUGACGUCGCUGCGGCUGCGGUGCAGGCCGGCAGCUGUCGCUUCCAUUCUGCCCCUGGCCUGGGAACUUCCAUAUGCCCCACGUGAGGCCCUAGAAAGCAUCUAUGUAUCUACGCACCCCCCCACAAAUGCCACGUCCUCAUCCAUGCCUCUGUCGAUGGACACGUAGCUGGCUUCCAUGUCUCGGCUCUUGUGAAGAGUGCUGCUAUGAACACUGAUUGGGGUGCCUGUGUCUUUUGGAACUGAAGUCCCAGGAGGGGGACUGCUGGAUGAUACGGUCCCCCUGGAUUUAGAAACACCUACAAACUUUUCGCCUGGCAGUAAAGA